rnacentral:rRNA from 1 species
CAGCACCUCAAGUGGUCAGGAUGAUUAUUGGGCCUAAAGCAUCCGUAGCCUGCUUUGUAAGUUUUCGGUUAAAUCCAUACGCUUAACGUAUGGGCUGCCGGGAAUACUGCAAAGCUAGGGAGUGGGAGAGGUAGACGGUACUCGGUAGGAAGGGGUAAAAUCCUUUGAUCUAUUGAUGACCACCUGUGGCGAAGGCGGUCUACCAGAACACGUCCGACGGUGAGGGAUGAAAGCUGGGGGAGCAAACCGGAUUAGAUACCCGCGUAGUCC